GCAUUUCCUGCAGCCGCCUGAUGUGUCCCUUUUCAUCUGCGGGGAAGAACACCGAAUUCUCACUCGUCUGCCUGUUGUAGCGCCUGGCCACUCUUCCCCAUAGAGGAAUUCUGUAUCAGCCAGCCUGCCAAAUAAAGUAGAAUGAAAGAAUUUCUGAAAAGGUGGCAUAUGAGAAAAGGAACCAAUACAAAGCACUGUUCCUUGCAGUAGAAGGCAAACAGAGCAAAUAGGAGAAAUAAAAAUGAGAAA